rnacentral:rRNA from 1 species
ACCGGCGCACGGGUGCGUAACGCGUAUGGAACCUGCCCCCCGCUGGGGGAUAGCCCGCCGAAAGGCGGAUUAAUACCCCAUGGCUUCCCUUCACCGCAUGGUGGAGGGGGUAAAGCUUCGGCGGCGGGGGAUGGACAUGCGUGCCAUUAGCUAGUUGGCGGGGUAAAAGCCCACCAAGGCUACGAUGGCUAGGGGGUCUGAGAGGAUGGUCCCCCACACUGGUACUGAGACACGGACCAGACUCCUACGGGAGGCAGCAGUGAGGAAUAUUGGUCAAUGGGCGGAAGCCUGAACCAGCCAUGCCGCGUGCAGGACGACGGCCCUAUGGGUUGUAAACUGCUUUUGUGCGGGAAGAAUAACCCCCUCGUGAGGGGGGAUGCCGGUACCGCACGAAUAAGGAUCGGCUAACUCCGUGCCAGCAGCCGCGGUAAUACGGAGGAUCCAAGCGUUAUCCGGAUUUACUGGGUUUAAAGGGUGCGUAGGCGGGUCGUUAAGUCGGCGGUGAAAUGCGGGGGCUCAACCUUCGAGCUGCCGCCGAAACUGGCGACCUUGAAUUCGGUCGAGGCUGGCGGAAUGCGUGGUGUAGCGGUGAAAUGCUUAGAUAU